AGUGAACGCUGGCGGUAGGCCUAACACAUGCAAGUCGAACGGCAGCACAGUAAGAGCUUGCUCUUACGGGUGGCGAGUGGCGGACGGGUGAGGAAUACAUCGGAAUCUACUUUUUCGUGGGGGAUAACGUAGGGGAACUUACGCUAAUACCGCAUACGACCUACGGGUGAAAGCAGGGGAUCUUCGGACCUUGCGCGAUUGAAUGAGCCGAUGUCGGAUUAGCUAGUUGGCGGGGUAAAGGCCCACCAAGGCGACGAUCCGUAGCUGGUCUGAGAGGAUGAUCAGCCACACUGGAACUGAGACACGGUCCAGACUCCUACGGGAGGCAGCAGUGGGGAAUAUUGGACAAUGGGCGCAAGCCUGAUCCAGCCAUACCGCGUGGGUGAAGAAGGCCUUCGGGUUGUAAAGCCCUUUUGUUGGGAAAGAAAAGCAGCAGGUUAAUACCCCGCUGUUCUGACGGUACCCAAAGAAUAAGCACCGGCUAACCUCGUG
rnacentral:rRNA from 1 species